rnacentral:rRNA from 1 species
GGGGAAUAUUGCACAAUGGGGGAAACCCUGAUGCAGCGACGCCGCGUGAGCGAAGAAGGCCUUCGGGUCGUAAAGCUCUGUCCUAAGGGAAGAAGAGGACGGUACCUUAGGAGGAAGCCCCGGCUAACUACGUGCCAGCAGCCGCGGUAAUACGUAGGGGGCGAGCGUUAUCCGGAAUUACUGGGCGUAAAGGGUGCGGAGGCGGCCUUUUAAGUCAGAUGUGAAAGGCUACGGCUUAACCGUAGUUAGCAUUUGAAACUAAGAGGCUUGAGUGCAGGAGAGGAGAGUGGAAUUCCUAGUGUAGCGGUGAAAUGCGUAGAUAUUAGGAGGAACACCAGUGGCGAAGGCGACUCUCUGGACUGCAACUGACGCUGAGGCACGAAAGCGUGGGUAGCGAAC